rnacentral:rRNA from 1 species
CCUACGGGUGGCAGCAGUGGGGAAUAUUGGACAAUGGGCGAAAGCCUGAUCCAGCCAUGCCGCGUGUGUGAAGUAGGCCUUCGGGUUGUAAAGCACUUUCAGUGGGGAAGAAAGCCUUGGGGCUAAUACCCUCGAGGAAGGACAUCACCCACAGAAGAAGCACCGGCUAACUCCGUGCCAGCAGCCGCGGUAAUACGGAGGGUGCGAGCGUUAAUCGGAAUUACUGGGCGUAAAGCGCGCGUAGGCGGUCUGAUAAGCCGGUUGUGAAAGCCCCGGGCUCAACCUGGGAACGGCAUCCGGAACUGUCAGGCUAGAGUGCAGGAGAGGAAGGUAGAAUUCCCGGUGUAGCGGUGAAAUGCGUAGAGAUCGGGAGGAAUACCAGUGGCGAAGGCGGCCUUCUGGACUGACACUGACGCUGAGGUGCGAAAGCGUGGGUAGCAAACAGGAUUAGAUACCCGAGUAGUC